UGCAGAAAGAGGCUAAAUACACAAUGUCUUCAUGAAGUGUUUUGUAGCUAGGACACUUGGCUGAAGAAUGGCUCGAAGGCACGGACUGGCAGAAGUGAUGUUUGUUAUGCAAGGAAUAUAUCCAGAAUGCCACAUUGCUGUGCCGGGAGCAUGAGCUCAGCACACAGCUCCCUGCUGCACUGAGCAUCACUGACCUGUGUGACCUGCCCUUGGCAAGACACCGCAUUCUGAGUGCCUCUGCUCAGCUACAGAUUUACCCCCAGGACUCCGAUGACUUUGUCUCUCUCUCCAUACAGUGGUGCUUGCCUGCCUCUUCUCCAUUCUGUAGCUAUGGCAAGUCCUGCCAUGGCACUGCUCCCUGUGCAUCUUGGUGUGGUUUAUAAAGCCUGAGGAAGGAAGCAUUACUGCAUGUAGGGAAAGUGGUGCAGCAGCCACUGUGCGCUUGGAGAAACCAAAGGAAGGAAAUUUGGAGUGAGUUGUGGGUGAUGGAAGAGAUAGGAGCAGACUUCCAUUUCCAGUCUCCCAGUGUUUCAUCUUCCUUUGUACCCAAUUAUCUCCAUUCUGUGACAUGAAGGCGACAGCACGGCAAACUGCACUGACAUUUGUGGAGCACAAGCAGAAGAACAUUCAGUAACUCCUGGGCAGAUGCCUGCUUAAGGAAAUUGGAGAAGGUGCCCUUAGGUGCAGAGCAGCUUGCAGAAGGGUUCUGGUGGAGUCCUUGUCACAUUGUGGGCCCAAUUCUCUUUAGGAGCAUAGCCUUCCUCUAAGCUCUGAAUUUGGUGUAGUUUCAGACCUCUGCAACCAGAAGAGAGAAGUUUUAUCAUGCGCAUUUCUCCACGACUGAUUGCCAUCUGAACGCAGGCACUGGUGCCAGCAGUGCAUGGUGGUUUGUUAAGCUGUUAAAUUUUAGACAAUGCCAGAGUGAAAGUGACCUUAAAAAUAAUCUUUUAACCACAGACUCAGUUCUUAUACUAAAAUAGAAACAGUAGAAUGAUAGGCUGGAAUACCCGUUUCUAGCUGGUGUGCUAUGUUGCUGCUCAGUGUGAAAUCUUAAAUGGGGCAGGGGCUCACAUAGAGCUGGCACCCUCUCCUUCCCCCAAGGACGCAGCAGUGUCCUGCCAUGGGUUCAGGCUGUGGUGCAGAAGAAGCUGUGCCUGUCUGGGAGGAGUAUAAAGUACACAUCUGGUUUGAGAGCACAGCUCAUCUGACCUAGUGACUAGCUGUCACCAAGGGGGUGGCUGUGCUUCACAGUCUGGACUAGUUCCCAUCCCUGUGCUGACAUUGCUACAUGUCUGUCUCUGCAGUGGCCAGAUUCAGGAAACCAAGUGUCAGGAAAGUUUUCCAGCAUUUUUCAGGGCUAAUUUUCUGCUGAUUUUGAAUCUUGAGCUGUCUCCUGAGACAUCAGACAGAUGUUGGUGCUAACACAAGACGACGCAAUGGGAAUACAUAGCACAUGAGGAGGAGCUGAGGUGUCUUUUUGUGCAGCACCUGGCUGUUAGAUUGUAUUAUCUGUGCUCUCUGACUGCAUCCUGAGUGUUCAUAACAGCAAAUGCCACAAAUUCCUUCACAGGAAUAUAGGAGUGAGAGAUACUGCAGUGGGAGAUAAUAAAAUCUGUUUUCUGGUGCUGAUUUUCUAUGGAAAACCAGUUGAAAACGUGUUCAUGCGUAUUUAAUAAAGCAACUGCUAGACUAGAGGAUAAAUAUAAAGCUAAAUCAGUUUAUGAACCUUACUGCUUACAAA